GACGAACGCUGGCGGCGUGCCUAAUACAUGCAAGUAGAACGCUGAAGGAGGAGCUUGCUCUUCUGGAUGAGUUGCGAACGGGUGAGUAACGCGUAGGUAACCUGCCUGGUAGCGGGGGAUAACUAUUGGAAACGAUAGCUAAUACCGCAUAACAGUAGAUGUUGCAUGACAUUUACUUAAAAGGUGCAAUUGCAUCACUACCAGAUGGACCUGCGUUGUAUUAGCUAGUUGGUGGGGUAACGGCUCACCAAGGCGACGAUACAUAGCCGACCUGAGAGGGUGAUCGGCCACACUGGGACUGAGACACGGCCCAGACUCCUACGGGAGGCAGCAGUAGGGAAUCUUCGGCAAUGGACGGAAGUCUGACCGAGCAACGCCGCGGGAGUGAAGAAGGGUUUCGGAUCGUAAAGCUCGGUUGUAAGAGAAGAACGAGUGUGAGAGUGGAAAGUUCACACUGUGACGGUAUCUUACCAGAAAGGGACGGCUAACUACGUG
rnacentral:rRNA from 1 species